CCUACGGGUGGCAGCAGUGGGGGAUAUUGGACAAUGGGGGGAACCCUGAUCCAGCGACGCCGCGUGAGUGAAGAAGUAUUUCGGUAUGUAAAGCUCUGUCAGCAGGGAAGAAAGAAAUGACGGUACCUGACCAAGAAGCCUCGGCUAACUACGUGCCAGCAGCCGCGGUAAUACGUAGGGGGCAAGCGUUAUCCGGAUUUACUGGGUGUAAAGGGAGCGUAGACGGCGGAACAAGUCAGAAGUGAAAACCCGGGGCUCAACCCUGGGAGUGGUUUUGAAACUGUUUGGCUGGAGUGCAGGGGAGGUAGGCGGAAUUCGUGGUGUAGCGGUGAAAUGCGUAGAUAUUAGGAGGAACACCAGUGGCGAAGGCGGCUUACUGGACUGUAACUGACGUUGAGGCUCGAAAGCGUGGGGAGCAAACAGGAUUAGAUACCCGGGUAGUC
rnacentral:rRNA from 1 species